GGGCCGCUAGCUCAAUUGGCAGAGCAAAAGACUCUUAAUCUUUAGGUUCCAGGUUCGAGUCCUGGGCGGCUCA
rnacentral:tRNA from 7 species